rnacentral:rRNA from 1 species
CCAAUAGCGUAUAUUAAAGUUGUUGCAGUUAAAAAGCUCGUAGUUGAAUUUCGGGAUCAUCAGGUUGGUCGUGCCUCUGGUAUGUACUGAUUUCGAUGGUUCCUCCUUCUUGUAGAACCGUAAUGCCAUUAAUUUGGUGUUGCGGGAAAACAGGACUGUUACUUUGAAAAAAUUAGAGUGUUUAAAGCAGGCAAUCGCUUGAAUACAUUAGCAUGGAAUAAUGAAAUAGGACGUUUGAUCCUAUUUUGUUGGUUUCUAGGAUUGACGUAAUGAUUAAUAGGGAUAGUUGGGGGCAUUAGUAUUCAAUUGUCAGAGGUGAAAUUCUUGGAUUUAUUGAAGACUAACUGCUGCGAAAGCAUUUGCCAAGGAUGUUUUCAUUAAUCAAGAACGAAAGUUAGGGGAUCGAAGACGAUCAGAUACCGUCGUAGUCUUAACCAUAAACUAUGCCGACUAGGGAUCGGAUGAUGUUAAUUUUUUAAUGACUCAUUCGGCGCCUUACG